rnacentral:rRNA from 1 species
GAUGAACGCUGGCGGCGUGCCUAAUACAUGCAAGUCGAGCGAACAGACGAGGAGCUUGCUCCUCUGACGUUAGCGGCGGACGGGUGAGUAACACGUGGAUAACCUACCUAUAAGACUGGGAUAACUUCGGGAAACCGGAGCUAAUACCGGAUAAUAUAUUGAACCGCAUGGUUCAAUAGUGAAAGACGGUUUUGCUGUCACUUAUAGAUGGAUCCGCGCCGCAUUAGCUAGUUGGUAAGGUAACGGCUUACCAAGGCUACGAUGCGGAGCCGACCUGAGAGGGUGAUCGGCCACACUGGAACUGAGACACGGUCCAGACUCCUACGGGAGGCAGCAGUAGGGAAUCUUCCGCAAUGGGCGAAAGCCUGACGGAGCAACGCCGCGUGAGUGAUGAAGGUCUUCGGAUCGUAAAACUCUGUUAUUAGGGAAGAACAAAUGUGUAAGUAACUAUGCACGUCUUGACGGUACCUAAUCAGAAAGCCACGGCUAACUACGUG